rnacentral:rRNA from 1 species
GUGAACGGGUGAGUAACACGUGGGCAAUCUGCCCUUCACUCUGGGACAAGCCCUGGAAACGGGGUCUAAUACCGGAUACGACGCGCUCGGGCAUCCGAUGUGCGUGGAAAGCUCCGGCGGUGAAGGAUGAGCCCGCGGCCUAUCAGCUUGUUGGUGAGGUAACGGCUCACCAAGGCGACGACGGGUAGCCGGCCUGAGAGGGCGACCGGCCACACUGGGACUGAGACACGGCCCAGACUCCUACGGGAGGCAGCAGUGGGGAAUAUUGCACAAUGGGCGAAAGCCUGAUGCAGCGACGCCGCGUGAGGGAUGACGGCCUUCGGGUUGUAAACCUCUUUCAGCAGGGAAGAAGCGAAAGUGACGGUACCUGCAGAAGAAGCGCCGGCUAACUACGUGCCAGCAGCCGCGGUAAUACGUAGGGCGCGAGCGUUGUCCGGAAUUAUUGGGCGUAAAGAGCUCGUAGGCGGUCUGUCGCGUCGGAUGUGAAAGCCCGGGGCUUAACCCCGGGUCUGCAUUCGAUACGGGCAGACUAGAGUGUGGUAGGGGAGAUCGGAAUUCCUGGUGUAGCGGUGAAAUGCGCAGAUAUCAGGAGGAACACCGGUGGCGAAGGCGGAUCUCUGGGCCAUUACUGACGCUGAGGAGCGAAAGCGUGGGGAGCGAACAGGAUUAGAUACCCUGGUAGUCCA